GAUGAACGCUAGCUACAGGCUUAACACAUGCAAGUCGAGGGGAAACGAUAUUGGAAGCUUGCUUCCGAUAGGCGUCGACCGGCGCACGGGUGAGUAACGCGUAUCCAACCUGCCCAUCACUUGGGGAUAACCUUGCGAAAGUAAGACUAAUACCCAAUGAUAUCUCUAGAAGACAUCUGCAGGAGAUUAAAGAUUUAUCGGUGAUGGAUGGGGAUGCGUCUGAUUAGCUUGUCGGCGGGGUAACGGCCCACCAAGGCGACGAUCAGUAGGGGUUCUGAGAGGAAGGUCCCCCACAUUGGAACUGAGACACGGUCCAAACUCCUACGGGAGGCAGCAGUGAGGAAUAUUGGUCAAUGGGCGAGAGCCUGAACCAGCCAAGUAGCGUGCAGGAUGACGGCCCUAUGGGUUGUAAACUGCUUUUAUAAGGGAAUAAAGUGAGUAUCGUGAGACUUUUUGCAUGUACCUUAUGAAUAAGGACCGGCUAAUUCCGUGCCAGCAGCCGCAGUAA
rnacentral:rRNA from 1 species